rnacentral:tRNA from 1 species
CGGUCGUUAGCUCAGUUGGUAGAGCAGCUGACUUUUAAUCAAUUCGUCGCAGAGAUCAAGCCUGCAUGAUCUACCA